rnacentral:rRNA from 1 species
CAAAAACAUGGCUUGUUGAAUAUAAUUUUAAGUCUAAUCUGCCCACUGAAAUUUUUAAAGGGCCGCAGUAUUUUGACUGUGCAAAGGUAGCAUAAUUAUUUGUUUCUUAAUUAGGGACUUGUAUGAAUGAUUGAAUGAAAUUAAUACUGUCUCAUUGUUAUUGGUAUUAAAAUUUAAUUUUUGAGUUAAAAAGCUUAAAUAUUAUUAAAAGACGAGAAGACCCUAUAGAGUUUUAUAUUGUUUUUAAUAUUUUAAAUGGUAAAAAAUAUUUAAUGUUAAUUAAGAAUAUUUAAUUGGGGUGAUUAGAAAAUUUAUUAAACUUUUCUUUAUUAAAAUAUUAAUUUGUAGAUUUAUGAUCCUAUUUUAUAGAUUAUAAGAUUAAAUUACCUUAGGGAUAACAGCGUAAUUUAUUUGGAGAGUUCAUAUUGAUAAAUAAGUUUGCGACCUCGAUGUUGAAUUAAAAUAUAAUUUGAGUGCAGCAGCUCAUUAUUUAAGUCUGUUCGACUUUUAAAAUUUUACAUGAUCUGA